CAGUCGCCACGGGAAUACGUAGGUGGCAAGCGUUGUCCGGAAUUAUUGGGCGUAAAGGGCUCGCAGGCGGUUUCUUAAGUCUGAUGUGAAAGCCCCCGGCUCAACCGGGGAGGGUCAUUGGAAACUGGGAAACUUGAGUGCAGAAGAGGAGAGUGGAAUUCCACGUGUAGCGGUGAAAUGCGUAGAGAUGUGGAGGAACACCAGUGGCGAAGGCUACUCUCUGGUCUGUAACUGACGCUGAGGAGCGAAAGCGUGGGGAGCGAACAGGAUUAGAUACCCCGGUAGUCCCUGUCUCUUAUAC
rnacentral:rRNA from 1 species